rnacentral:rRNA from 1 species
UAAGCCCUACGGGACGCAGCAGUAGGGAAUCUUCCACAAUGGGCGAAAGCCUGAUGGAGCAACGCCGCGUGGGUGAAGAAGGUCUUCGGAUCGUAAACCCCUGUUGUUAGAGAAGAAAGUGCGUGAGAGUAACUGUUCACGUUUCGACGGUAUCUAACCAGAAAGCAACGGCUAACUACGUGCCAGCAGCCGCGGUAAUACGUAGGUGGCAAGCGUUAUCCGGAUUUAUUGGGCGUAAAGAGAACGCAGUCGGUCUUUUCAGGUUGAUGUGAAAGGCUUGGGCUUAACCGGAGUAGUGGAUUGGG